rnacentral:rRNA from 1 species
UAUUUGCAGUAUUGAUUAUUAUGGAUUAAGGGGACUUUGACUUAGUAAUAAAUGGUUGUAAGUAUUGAUUUAAUAUGUGCCAGCAGUCGCGGUUAAACAUAGAAUGUGAAUGAAUAUUUUCGGUUUGUUUAGUUAUUUAUUUAAUUAAUAAUUUUUAUUUUGAAUUGUUGGGUGAAAUUUUAAUUUUUGGUUUUGGUUAUUUUGGUUUGGCUUAGAAUCUAAUAAAUCUGAUUUAUUUAAACUAGGAUUAGAUACCCUAUUAUUUUAGAUGUAAAUUUUUGUUAACCUUAUUAUUAUUAGUUAUUUUCUUGAAAUUUAAAGAAUUUGGCAGUAUUUUAGUCUAUUUAGAGGAACUUGUUCCGUGAUCGAUAAUCCACGUUUUACCUUACUUGAUUUUAUUUAAUAUGUAUACUGCCGUUAAUUUGUUAAUCUUUUUAGAGUUGAAAUUUAUUUAAUAUUGAGUUGAUAGGGUUUCAGGUCAAAGUGCAGUUUAUAAUUAAGUGGAAAUGAGUUACAAUAAUUUUUUAUUAUACGGAUUCUUUAUUGAAAGUUUAUUUUGUUGAAGGAGGAUUUAAAUGUAUUUUUAUAUAGAUAGAUAAAUUGAUUUGGCUCUAAGAUAUGUACACAUUGCCCGUCGCUCUCAUUAUAAUAUGAGAUAAGUCGUAACAUAGUAGUUGUACCGGAAGGUGUAGCUAGAAUGAUAAACUUGAUUUUUGUCAAG